rnacentral:rRNA from 1 species
CAUGUAGGCGGUCUUUUAAGUCGAUUGUGAAAUCCCUUGGCUUAACCAAGGAACUGCAACCGAUACUGUGAGGCUUGAGUGUAGGAGAGGAAAGCGGAAUUCCCGGUGUAAGAGUGAAAUCUGUAGAGAUCGGGAGGAACACCAGUGGCGAAGGCGGCUUUCUGGCCUAUAACUGACGCUGAAAUGCGAAAGCUAGGGGAGCAAACAGGAUUAGAUACCCUGGUAGUCC